GGUGAAUGUUUCGUAAUGAAUGGAUGUAAUGGGUGUAGUGGAUGAAUGUUUGGUAAUGAGUGGAUGUAAUGGGUGUACUGGGUGAAUGUUUGGUAAUAAGUGGAUGUAAUGGGUGUAGUGGGUGAGUGUUGUGGUAAUGAGUGGAUGUAAUGGGUGUAGUAGGUGAGUGUUUGAUAAUGAGUGGAUGUAAUGGGUGUAGUGGAUGGAUGUUUGGUAAUUGUAGGUCAACACACUUGCACACAAACAUGCUGAUUUCUAGCCUUCAAAUAUUAAAAAACGUCCAUCCUCAUGUCUCCAUGCUUGCACUAUCCAAUUUUGGCCCAAAAAUGCUCCAAAUAGCACUUUGUUGCUAACUUUGUUAUUUGAACCUACAAACACACGAAAAUAGCUUAAAGUACUAAAAUAACUAGAAUUAAGCUACGUAAAUGCCAAGAAACAAGCUAACUAAGUUGCAUAAAUAUGCUCCUAUCAAAUUCCCCCACACUUAGCUUUUGCUAGUCCUCGAGCAAAACAAAACAAAAUAGAACAAACAAAACACAACCUAACCUUCCAACAUUUGCCUCAGGGAUUUUCAAUGCACAUGACAUGUUAAAAAUCAUCAUUCCCACAGAUUUUGGUUAUCUUCACACUACUUACUAGUUCACAAUUAACCAAUUAAAACAAUGUUUUGAAUGUAGUAACAUGCGUUAGAGAAUUUGCUCAAUUCCUUACAAGAUACUCUCUAUUUUCACACACAUUUUCUGACUGCACACCCUACACUAGAGACUAAGACUCACAUAUGUUAUAACAAAGGAAGCAAUUUUAUGGAGUUAUUAAGCAUGUUUAGAUAUGAUCUCAUGAAUGGUAUGCUAUUACCUAGAUGCGAGAACCAGUGACACCAUAUGCUCAUACCAAUUUCAAACUCCACAAAUUGAAACGCACAACACUCAAGAUUGAAGUCAAGGGUUGUAACAGGGCUUGGGGGUAAUGGCUAACAAAGAAAGGAUAGGAAUAACAAACGUUCUUAAAGCGAUAGCAAGCAAAGCAAUGAAAUAGACACUUGGAAUUCACUUUAGAAUGCAGAAUCAACUUUUACAUACAAAGGGAAGAUUCAUGCAACACUUAGGGCCGAAUUCAAUGUUUUGGACCCUUUUUUAACAAACAACACUUUAGAGCUCUUUUUCAUACUUUUUUUUUCUUUUCUCUACCCGUGCCUUAUUAAGGACUUUAGCACACACAAACACAAGAAUCACUUCCCCCCACACUUGUUUUUCUGCAAGAGUUCAACAAAAGGAUUUCCUUCUAAAUUAUGCUUUACUAUGCUUCAAGAACAAGGGUAUGGAUGGUCCUAAUCUAGGCUAGGUGAGGAUAGUGAGGGUAACAAAGAACAUAGGCAACACAAGGCUCAACGGGGUUAAACUUAAACACAUAAUGAAAUAGGGGCACGGUAAUUUGGCUUUGGUGGUCACUACACAACUUCAUUUUGAAUAUAUGUUAUGCAAAUCAAUGGCAUGCUUUGAAUGAAAUAAGCAUGAGUUCUAGCAUUUGGAACUAAAUGACGAAACGCCUUCUAAGUAGCAACCAAGCAAAGAAUAAUGAGAUCAUGCAACGACUUUUAGAAAACAAUGGUGCACAGAUUAUUAACUUUCCAAAUAAAUGUUUAGGCUCAAGUCUCACAAGGUUGUAGCAUUCAUUUGAGUUCCUUCCUUCAAGCAUGUUACAAAAACUGAUUUUUCUUUUAUGAUUGCAUGUGAAUUCAUAAUUUAUAACCACAACCAAGCAUACAUCAAAGAGUAAAUCAAAUUUUCAUCCAUGUUUAUAACUCUCUUUAACAGUCAUGUAAUUAAAAACCAAAUCCUCAUCAUUGUGUUGGAAGGUACCCUAAGACACAAACAAACACACAAAAACAACUCUUUUUGGGUUUUUUUUCAAAACAAUUUUUCAAAUUUUUAUGAGAUUUUCGGAUUUUUAUGUCAAAACACACUAAAACACUCCAAAACAACUUAAAACACUUAAAAACAUCAAGGAACAACACUUAGAAGUAAUGGAUGAUAAACUCCCACGAAUUUCAUGCAAAACAACUUGGUUACCCCCCCACACUUAAAUCAAACAUUGUCCUCAAUGUUUCAAGCAUAAACUCACACAAAAAAAAAAAAAAAAACAAGCAAACAAACAAACAACGAAUAAACAUGACAAGUAUGGCAAAGUAAAAACCAGACAGAGUAGAGUUUAAGAACGUAAAUCUGGUUUUGGAGAUAAAUGAUCUUGUUGUCCUUCCACAACUUUGAUCUCGAACUGGUUUGGAAUUCUAAGUGAGGACUAUGAGAGUUCCUUGGUUUCAAAUCAAACUCCUUCUGCUGGGUUGAUUUGAUUGUGCAGUCUGCAUUUUUCUCUGCUUGUUUCUUCUGCACGGCAGGCAGGCACGAGGUAGAGGUGUUGGUCUAUUUCUUUCUUCAAUCUUUCCAAGGGCCCACCUCUUGCUUUCUUUCUCCUUGUCCCUAGCUGAGGAUGAAUUGGCAAAUUGUCUCCACAUGCUUCGAGGUAUCAUUUUCACUUCCCUUAUCUGUUCCUUAGGCAGAUGUGGUAGACGAAGAGGAAGCAUAAAAUGAUGAAGAUGAGUACUCGAGAGCAAGGCUAGGUAAGCAAUCAGGAAGGGGUUUCAGGCAGUCGGUUCCAGAUUGAAAGAUUGAUACCAAGUGCUGGCUGAUUGCUCUCUUUCUCCUUGUCCCAAAACAACAACAAGGAGAAGGACAGGGAGAAAGCAUGAUAUGAGAUACUCUUUCUUUCAACCUUCAUGAUAUGAAAUACUUUUGCUUUAGAGGAGUUGUUUGCAAAGGUACCCCAAGGAAUAAGGAACACUGAGUGACUCGAGAGGGUUUGUUGGAAUGGCAUUUUCGGAGAAGAAUAAGGGCUAUGUAUGUCUGCCUUGCAAUGGAGGGUGAAGGGUGACAUUUAUAGGAAUUAAUAACCGGUACUAUUCUUUCACCCUUGUCAGCAACCAUUGGAUGAUUUAAUAGUAAACUUCACGUGUUUUCUACUUCACAAGAGAUCUUCAACAGAUUGCCCGUAAUUUCCGCAAGGCUGAGUGUGCAUGUGACAGGCGCUGACACGUCUGGAAAAGCAAGUGCCUCUUCGAUAUCCAGAAUCGGCGCUUCGACAAACUACCCAUGAUUUCCGCAAAGCUGACUCUGCAUGUGACAGAUGCUUCUCCGAUUUCUGAGGUUGCCUCUUCGAUCUUCGAAAUCCCGUUGAGUGCAGAGAUUGCAUGUGACAAGUGCAGACAAAUAUGGAAAAGAAGAUUGGCCCAUGGUUUCUGAGCAAGCCCAGCUUUUGAGAAAGCUAGCGCCUCUUCGAUUUUUGAGUUGGCCUCUUCAAUUUCUGAGCUCGCCUCUUCGUUCUCUGAAAUCUCGUCCAGUGCUGAUUUUUAUAGAGGUAUGCAGAACGUUCAAAGCACACUUGAAUUUAUGCCUGUAGAAACUCCCUUCUUGCACUUCUACGACCUUAACUUGAACCUUGGUGAAGAGGUAGUCUCGCCUUCUCCAGACAACAUAUGGCGCCCAUUCUUCAUAUCCCUUACUGGUCCUCUUACCGUUGAGGAUUCGGUGAUGAAGAAUGACAUGACCGCUGCGGUGGUGGCCCGGAACCUUGUCACUUCCAAAGAUAAUAGACUACUUUCCAAACGGUCUGAUGAGUUGGUUGUUAAGGAUUCUCUAGCUCUCAGUGUGCAGUGUGCAGGUUCUGUGUCUAAUAUGGCCCAACGCCUAUUUGCUCGAACCCGUCAAGUUGAAUCAUUGGCGACUGAAGUGAUGAGUCUUAAACAGGAGAUUAAAGGGCUCAAGCAUGAGAAUAAACAAUUUCAUAGGCUCGCACAUAAAUAUGCUACAAACAUGAAGAGGAAGAUUGACCAGAUGAAGGAAUCUGAUGGUCAGAUUUUACUUGAUCAUCAGAGGUUUGUGGGUUUGUUCCAAUAGCAUUUUCCUUCGUCUUCUGGGGCUGUACCACGAAAUGAAGCUCCAAAUGAUCAACCUCUAAUGCUUCCUCCUUCUGGGGCUCUACCGACUGCUGAGGCUCCGCCGACUACUGAGACUUCUCCUAAGCAACUUUUGUGAAGGCUCGCUCUUGUAACUUUUUUCUACUUAAUGUUCCUUUUUUUUUUAUGAAAAUGAACGUAAAAAUACCUUGCAUAACUGUCAAUGUUUUAAAAAUAAACCCACACCAAAAACAAUUAAACAAGCAACAAAUAAAAAUGACAAUCAUGGCAAAAUAAAACUACAGAAAAGGGAAGGUUUUUAGGAAUGCAAAACCAAUCGUGGAGCAAUUCAAAAAUCUUCCUUAUUUGAAUACAUGGGUUGCCUCCCAAGAAGCACUUGCUUUAACAUCUUCCAGCCGGACGAAACUUCCUUCUAAACUUGGAUAGGGCCUAUAGCAUGGAAUUGAUCCUUGAAUGGACGGUGAUACUUGACGUGAUCUGGCAAUGGUUUAAAUUCUAGUGUAGGUGCCUGAAUCAUCAAAAUCAGCAAGUUAGUAUAUAAUAAAAUCGAAGUUGGAGAAGAUGGCUUACUUGCUUGCUCCAACACAAACUCAAUUACGAACACCACAUCUUUGAAGGUUGCAGGGAUAUGGGAUUUGGCCAGAUUUGGUGUUUUGAGAGUUAUGACUUGUCCCGUGUCAUAAAAUCCAACUUCUUUGGGAAUUUUCGUCUCAAGUGUAUCUUCUUUGAUGAAUUCUAGACAUUCCCCAUCCACUUCUUGCUCUUGAUUCGUUGGAAAGGUUUCGAAAUGCCUUUCUCACCCUCUUCUUCCUUGGAUUGCAUAAUCCUGCAAGGAAUAAGGACAUUUGGUGAAACGGGGUCAGGACAAAUUGAAUUUAGGCUUACCUUGGUUGUAGUGGACAGCAUAGAGGGCAUAUGGGGCUGCGGCAAGGGUGGUUCUUCCCUUGCCGUGGCCUUGUUAUUCUCCUUUUCUUUGAGCAGAAGUUGUUCAUCCAUGUUUUGGCUUGGUUUGGAUGUCUUGGGUUCACCUCCAACCUCCAUAGCACUUCCCAAAGUGAUAGCAUCAUGGAUUUCAAAAUCUUCCUUCAAAUUUUCAAUAGUUGAGUUUGAGAGUUCACUUUGCUCUUGAAUUUGUGCCAUCAACUCCAUAAUCUGCCCAAUUUGCUUCUCCAAUUCACCCGUCUUCUUGGCUUGAUUUUGGAUCUCUUUGUUUCCAUUUUCUACUUCCUGGUUCAAAUAGGUGAGUAACUUAUUAAACAUAUCAUUAUCCAGAGACGUACCUGAAUUGAAUUGGGUAGUUUGUUGUGGUGGCUGCAUAGGUCUUGAAUAGAACUCCCCUUCUUGCUGCCAAUACCCAUCUUGUUGGAAUUGUUGAGGUUCUCCCCACAUGUAAUCUGAAUAAUCUCUCCAAUCCGAAUUGUAAGCAUUGGAAAACAUGUUGUCCCAUGAUUGUCUAUGGCCUUGAUAAUCCCAAACAUCUUCAUUCGCAGCGAAUUGAGAACAUUGAUGAGUUGGAUAUCCUUGCCCAUAGGACACACCAUAUGUAGGGACACUUUGCAUUGUGGUCCCUUCGACAUAUUGUGACAAUUGAGAAGUAAGUUUCGCCAAUUGAGCUUGAAUGGUAGCAAAAUCCAUGUCUUACUUCUCUAGUACCUGAAAUCAAGGCAACAAAACUAAAUCAAAUAUCAUAAGUAAAAAUAAAAGACACGAAUAGAAACAAAGUCAGUAACUAAAACAAAAGACAUGAAAAAGAAACAACGGGGGAUUAGCAAAGUUGCUAAUCCCCGGCAACGGCGCCAAAAAUUUGAUGCGAAAAUUAACUUAACACACAAAUUAAACCCUCUUGUUUUCAAAUUGUAGUAUAAAUGCAAGUAGGGAUCGUUCUAAACCAGGGAUUAGGAGGGCUUGCUAAAACCUCUAAGCUGACUUAAAAACAUAUAAACAAAGUUAAAAACACUAAACUAGACUCAAAACAAGCUAAAAACGCUCAAAUCAGCCUAAAAACACAAACUGGGCAGAUUUGGACUCUAACACACUUUUGGGACACCUAAAAACACAAAUCAAAACAGAUUUUGACUAAUGAAACACUUUAAAGUAAAAGGGGUUUUGGUUUUGACGAAUUUGAAAACAAAACAAGUAAAUUAAAGAACUAAUGAAAUCUGCACGAAUUUGAGUAAAUUGAAUGGAUGGAAGGUUAUUUAGGAGGUUCUUCUCCACACAUGACAUACUUGCACAUAAACCAAUUUUCAGUUGUUCUUUCGAUCAAUCAUGAAACUCAACACCCCAGGUUAAUUAAGUCCGUUUAAAUUAACCUUCAAGUUCUCCUUAAGUUAUUGAAUUCGAUGGGAAAGCGCAUACAACAAUUCAAGCAUUCUUCAAAAGUUCUUUACGUGAACAGCACAAUAAAGAUACAAUCAAAGAUCAUUAAGCAUUAUGAAAACUAUAAGUAUUGACGAGGCAUUCGUUACUAUGGUGAGCAUGAAACUCCUGCCAAGAAUUUAUUUAACACGAUCGUUUAUAAGCGACCUCCACUACUUGUGAAUAUAAGUUUGUAACUAUUAGGUGAAACUCCCUUAUACUCUAGCAUCAUAUUCAUGCAUGCAAACUAAGUGUGCACUCUUAAUAAACAUACAUGAAUAAGUUAUCAAUCAAGCAAUUAAACAAAUUGAAUUCACAACUUAUGAAAUCACAACUGAAGGUAAUCAAAUCAUAUUGCAAGUAUGAACAUGGUUUCGAAUUCCCCCCUAGCUAAGGGAGGAUUAGUUCCUCAUACUCACAAAGCAAAGAUAAACAAAUUUAGACAUUGAAAACAAAAGAAUGAAAACACCUAAAAACGCUCCAACAAUCCAACUUGAAUGGCAAGCAUGUCCAAGGGUCCUCCUUCUUCUCUUUGUUGCGGCACAAGGUGUGGUUUGAUGGAUAAGUGGUAAAUUAUGUUGGUGGAUGGAUAUAGGUGAGUUAUGGUGAAGGGUGGAUGGGUGGAUUGUGUUCUCUCGGCCAAGGAAUGAAAGUGUAAGUGUAUGGAGUUAUGAGAUAUGAAUGUAGUGUCUUUUGAUGGAUCUUUUUCUCCCUUACUUGUUAUGCUGAAAGGUGGAUGUAUUUAUAGGCUAGGGCGAGGACCACCAUCUAAUUAAGGUGGUAGUGGUGUAUGUUGUGGUAAUGAGUGGAUGUAGUGGGUGUAGUGGUGAAUGUUUCGUAAUGAAUGGAUGUAAUGGGUGUAGUGGAUGAAUGUUUGGUAAUGAGUGGAUGUAAUGGGUGUACUGGGUGAAUGUUUGGUAAUAAGUGGAUGUAAUGGGUGUAGUGGGUGAGUGUUGUGGUAAUGAGUGGAUGUAAUGGGUGUAGUAGGUGAGUGUUUGGUAAUGAGUGGAUGUAAUGGGUGUAGUGGAUGGAUGUUUGGUAAUUGUAGGUCAACACACUUGCACACAAACAUGCUGAUUUCUAGCCUUCAAAUAUUCAAAAACGUCCAUCCUCAUGUCUCCAUGCUUGCACUAUCCAAUUUUGGCCCAAAAAUGCUCCAAAUAGCACUUUGUUGCUAACUUUGUUAUUUGAACCUACAAACACACGAAAAUAGCUUAAAGUACUAAAAUAACUAGAAUUAAACUAAGUAAAUGCCAAGAAACAAGCUAACUAAGUUGCAUAAAUAUGCUCCUAUCAAACGUACCCUUUGAUUCCCAAAGAAAUAAUGCGUAAAUAGAAUCCUUUAUGCAUACGCAGAACGGUGCUUUACUUAUUUCAUAUUGUAUGAAAAACGUUGAUAUGAGUUGUACCAAGAUCGGUACAAGACGAUAUCAAUGCAAGCCCAGGAUCAGAACCAUGGCA
rnacentral:lncRNA from 1 species